GAUGAACGCUGGCGGCGUGCCUAAUACAUGCAAGUCGAGCGAACAGAUGAGGAGCUUGCUCCUCUGACGUUAGCGGCGGACGGGUGAGUAACACGUGGAUAACCUACCUAUAAGACUGGGAUAACUUCGGGAAACCGGAGCUAAUACCGGAUAAUAUAUUGAACCGCAUGGUUCAAUAGUGAAAGACGGUUUUGCUGUCACUUUUAGAUGGAUCCGCGCCGCAUUAGCUAGUUGGUAAGGUAACGGCUUACCAAGGCGACGAUGCGUAGCCGACCUGAGAGGGUGAUCGGCCACACUGGAACUGAGACACGGUCCAGACUCCUACGGGAGGCAGCAGUAGGGAAUAUUCCGCAAUGGGCGAAAGCCUGACGGAGCAACGCCGCGUGAGUGAUGAAGGUCUUCGGAUCGUAAAACUCUGUUAUUAGGGAAGAACAAAUGUGUAAGUAACUAUGCACGUCUUGACGGUACCUAAUCAGAAAGCCACGGCUAACUACGUG
rnacentral:rRNA from 1 species